rnacentral:rRNA from 1 species
UAGGGAAUCUUCGGCAAUGGACGAAAGUCUGACCGAGCAACGCCGCGUGAGUGAAGAAGGUUUUCGGAUCGUAAAACUCUGUUGUUAGAGAAGAACAAGGACGUUAGUAACUGAACGUCCCCUGACGGUAUCUAACCAGAAAGCCACGGCUAACUACGUGCCAGCAGCCGCGGUAAUACGUAGGUGGCAAGCGUUGUCCGGAUUUAUUGGGCGUAAAGCGAGCGCAGGCGGUUUCUUAAGUCUGAUGUGAAAGCCCCCGGCUCAACCGGGGAGGGUCAUUGAAAACUGGGGGACUUGAGUGCAGAAGAGGGUAGUGGAAUUCCAUGGGUAGCGGUGAAAUGCGUAGAUAUAUGGAGGAACACCAGUGGCGAAGGCGGCUCUCUGGUCUGUAACUGACGCUGAGGCUCGAAAGCGUGGGGAGCAAACAGG